UACCAGCACCCCGAGUGGUCGGGACGAUUAUUGGGCCUAAAGCGUCCGUAGCCGGUUCUACAAGUCUUCCGUUAAAUCCACCUGCUUAACAGAUGGGCUGCGGAGGAUACUAUGGAGCUAGGAGGCGGGAGAGGCAAGCGGUACUUAGGGGGUAGGGGUAAAAUCCGUUGAUCCAUUGAAGACCACCAGUGGCGAAGGCGGCUUGCCAGAAUGCGCUCGACGGUGAGGGGUGAAAGCUGGGGGAGCAAACCGG
rnacentral:rRNA from 1 species